CAUUCAUAGAUACUUGUACUCCUGCACGUACCUGCAUUUUGUCCUUUUAGGGUCAUGAUUCAACCGUUGUGGAUGACAAAAAACAACAAAUGUUGGAGUGAUGAACCUUCAAAAAGGUUGCUGACCCCUGCAUCAGAGUGUGAGCGGAAUUUCCCCUUUAGUAAUUUAGAAGUGUUUGAGUAAAAAACAUUUAAAGUAACAAAUAAACAGAUGAAAACCUCACCUCAUUGGUGGAGGUUAUGUAUACUUCAGAGUGAAAGAGAAGCGAAUGUUGACAGCGGACCUGCAGGGGCCAUAAACCAUGUUUGACAAGCACAUACUGUAAUUCAGUUUGCAUGUGUUGAGGAAUGAAGGGCAGCCGUGUUCAGAUGUGUGUGCGAGCACGAGUGACAAGCUGCUGCACGUCGGCCAUCCGGCAACAACACGGAAGCCAAGUGUGAGGAUGAUUUACUUCUUCUUCCCUCUGCUCGCAAAGGCGCCUCUGCUAUUAUCCUGAUUAGGAGCAGCCCUCGGGGCAGUUAUUAGCGCAUUUGUAUUAAUUUCUCUGGAUCAUCCCAUUCUGACAGAGCAAGCCAAAGAAACUGCUCUCAAACCACUAGAAAAUGCAAUGCUCAGAAAUGUGAAUGCUGAGAGAUGCAGAGUUGAAGAAGAAACCUACAGAAGACUAGUGAAUAAUAAUGCUCCUUCUGGUGUGCACAAGUUGGCAAACAGGGACAUAAUGCUGUCAUGCAGACACAAACGAAGAAGGUUUUCACAACUACUACAUUGCUGUGCUCCAUGAAGCCUUCUGCAGUAUGACUGUGUUUCGAGUGACCCCGCCACCGCUACCUGGGGGCUCCUCCCUACUAUUUGCAAUAGGCAGCCGUGUUAAUGGCUGUAAGAACACGAGCGGCUGCAAGAACACGAACAGCUCUGACACGCCGCCCCAGUCACUUGGACCUGCCGCCACAGGGCAGGAGGAAGGCUGCUAACAUGAAUCUGCCUGGGAAUCUCUGAGCUGCAAGUCAGCGAGCUGACAGGAGAGCAGCAGAGAUAAGAAAGGGAGCCGGUUCACCUCAGCUCAACGUCAGAGACGAUAGGGGACUGGAUUUUUGGUGGCAUGUGUCAUGAGUUUAACGCCGAUGGCAACACGACAGGAACUUACUUACUGCAACCAACGGAUGGUUAAAAUUAGACAAACAGGUUAAUUAAAGAGCUGACGCAGUCUUCA